rnacentral:siRNA from 1 species
GAGGAUUUGUCGACCAGGAGUGGA